GGAGUGGCGCAGUUGGUUAGCGCGCCAGAUUGUGGCUCUGGAGGUCGAGGGUUCGAAUCCCUCCUUU
rnacentral:tRNA from 1 species